CCUACGGGAGGCAGCAGUGAGGAAUAUUGGUCAAUGGGCGCGAGCCUGAACCAGCCAAGUAGCGUGAAGGAUGACUGCCCUACGGGUUGUAAACUUCUUUUAUACAGGAAUAAAGUGAGGCCCGUGUGCCUUUUUGUGUGUACUUUAUGAAUAAGGAUCGGCUAACUCCGUGCCAGCAUCCGCGGUAAUACGGCGGAUCCGCGCGUUAUCCGGAUUUCUUGGGUUUAAAGGGUGCGUAGAUGGGUUGUUAAGUCAGUUGUGAAAGCUUGCGGCUCAACCGUAAAAUUGCAAUUGAUACUGGCAGUCGUGAGUGCAGUAGAGGUAGGCGGAAUGCGGGGUGUAGCGGUGAAAUGCUUAGAUAUCACGAAGAACUCCGAUUGCGAAGGCAGCUUACUAAACUGCCACUGACACUGAGGCACGAAAGUGUGGGUAUCAAACAGGAUUAGAUACCCGAGUAGUC
rnacentral:rRNA from 1 species